rnacentral:rRNA from 1 species
AUGGUGGAUAAAAUUAGAAGACCCUUCCUCUGGACAGGCGAGUGCAGCGCUUCUCGUGGUAAAUGCCUUGUGAGAUGGUCCCUAGUAUGCCGGCCACUUGAGUUCGGAGGACUAGGAAUUUCAAACCUGUUCCUUCACAGUAUCGCCCUACGCGUUCGAUGGCUAUGGUAACAAGCGACGCUCACAGACAGGCCGUGGGAAGGACUGCCUAUCCCUUCAGACAAGUUCUCAUAG